AGUGAACGCUGGCGGUAGGCCUAACACAUGCAAGUCGAACGGCAGCACAGUAAGAGCUUGCUCUUACGGGUGGCGAGUGGCGGACGGGUGAGGAAUACAUCGGAAUCUACUUUUUCGUGGGGGAUAACGUAGGGAAACUUACGCUAAUACCGCAUACGACCUACGGGUGAAAGCAGGGGAUCUUCGGACCUUGCGCGAUUGAAUGAGCCGAUGUCGGAUUAGCUAGUUGGCGGGGUAAAGGCCCACCAAGGCGACGAUCCGUAGCUGGUCUGAGAGGAUGAUCAGCCACACUGGAACUGAGACACGGUCCAGACUCCUACGGGAGGCAGCAGUAGGGAAUCUUCCGCAAUGGGCGAAAGCCUGACGGAGCAACGCCGCGUGAGUGAUGAAGGUCUUCGGAUCGUAAAACUCUGUUAUUAGGGAAGAACAUAUGUGUAAGUAACUGUGCACAUCUUGACGGUACCUAAUCAGAAAGCCACGGCUAACUACGUG
rnacentral:rRNA from 1 species